UAAGACUUAAAGAGGAAUAACUUUAUUUAUAACUUUGAAGGAUAUUAGUUUUAUUUAACUUAAAGCCUU
rnacentral:tRNA from 1 species